rnacentral:tRNA from 1 species
GCUCCAGUAGUCUAGUCCGGUCAAGGAUAUCGGCCUUUCGAGCCGACGACACGGGUUCAAAUCCCGUCUGGAGCA